AGAAGACAGAAGCCAGACUAGACCAGAGACCAAGACUGGAGAACAGAGUGGAGACCAGAUGAGUCCAGACCAGAGAAGAGCUGAGGGGGCAGCCGACAUCGCAAACUGACAAAAAAAAAAAAGAUAAAUAUAUUUUAUCCUUAAUUUCAUCCCCAAUUGUUUCACUGUAAAAUUGUUUCAGUCGGAGUCUUCAGUGGUGUUAUAACUUUUCUUUUUCCUCUUAUGUGAUUUGUCUUGUACAGAGAAGACAGAAAACCAGUCCAGACCAGAUACCAGCUGAGGGGGCAGCAUACCUUACAAGCCAUCUUUAAAAAAUAACGUAAGUUUUUCCCAUGCCAUAUUUUUUUUGUUGUUUUGAUCAAAAUUACUUCACUGUAAAUAUUAUUUUAAAAUUGUCUUCACUUGUUAACUUCUUUUGUCGCCCACAUUAUUUGUCCUUUACAGAAAGGAAACAAGUCUAGACCAGACUGGAGGUGUAUAGAUGAUGUCUGAAAUCAGCGUGUUCGUUUUUGUGGUCAGUUGGACUGGAACAUGAAGCUGUGGUGGCCUCACUGUGAAGCUCUCAUCGCCUACCUGAUGACCUACAGUCACACUAAGAGACCAGAGCUGCUGGAGAGAUUCUCUCAGGUGUAUGAGUACACCUUCAGUCACGUGAGUUAUUACUGAG
rnacentral:lncRNA from 1 species